GGCGCGGCGCGCGCCGCGGCGCGGCGUUACUUUCGGCGCGUGAAGUUAACCGCGCGAAAGUGACGAAGUCGUUUCACUCCAUCCUUUUGCAUAUCGCUGUGAAAACGUAACAAACGCAAGGUGGAUCGGCUCCAGAACAAGCGGCAUCGCGAAUCUCUUAAUUGGUAAAUAUAACACGUAUCAACCUUGCCUUGUAAUUCGUUCAAGCGUAUCUGUCAACACUGUUUGAGCGAAGAUCGAAAUCGAUUCGUAACGACAUAUAUGUCAAUCGUGAUCGCGCGAGAAGAAAUCCCUUCGCCAUUUUAAUCGCAUAUUGCCCGUAAUAUCGGAAAGACAGUCGUCGCAUCAUCAAUUAUUUGUGUGGGCAUAUAAGAACGCGUAUGCCAGCAUCGAAUCUCUUUGCACCAUCGUGCUGCACGGAGAGGAUGGCUGGCAGCAAGGAUGCUGCAAAAAGAUUCGGCGUACCGACCGUGCGGCGUGGCGUCACUUUGAGACGCGUGAAGUUGACCGCGCGAGAGUGACGAAGCCAUUUCACUCCACUUUUUUACGUGUCGCUGUUAGAACGUAACGGACGGAAGGUGAAUCGAUUCCGGAACAAGUGGCAUCGCGAAUCACUUAAUUGCAGAUCGUGACAAUCUUGAUAUAAAUCGCUUCCAGGGCGGACGUUGCGAUAUUUAUUUGAUAAUUAAAGAGUCAACGAUGGAUCACAAGGAGUCAACGAUGAAUCAUAAGCCGAUGUAAUCUCGUCGCCGAUUAAAAUGAAAAUAAACGAACCGCAGCCGGUUCGUCGCGUUUGCUUCGGGAGUGCCGUUCAAGUGAAUAAAGGACUAAAAGGACUUUUCAUACAGGGUAAAUUUUAAUGGCUGUCCCAACUUUUUACCGUGAGAGAUGGGAUUACUGAUUGUGAUCUUAGUACACACAUGUAUGACAUGUGCACAUGCAUAUGUCGUACAUAUGUGUACUAAGAUUGCAGUCGGUAAUUCCGUCUUUCAUGGUAAAAAGUUGGGACAGCCAUUGAAAUUCACCUUGUAUAACUCCCAUUCGAAUGAGCUCUUGGUUCGAGAAACCGCUCUUUCCGGGUCGCACUUUGAAAUAUUGACAGUAUUGGACGCUCAUCGAGAUGCUCGACGACCGAUGACGCACCUAAAAAAGCUGGUAAUGGGACGCAGAGGACACGCUGUCACGGUUGUCGAGUUAUUUGAGAUACAC